UUUGCCUACGGGGCGCAGCAGUGAGGAAUAUUGGUCAAUGGCCGCAGGGCUGAACCAGCCAAGUCGCGUGAGGGAUGACGGUCCUAUGGAUUGUAAACCUCUUUUGUCAGGGAACAAAGGCGGGGACGUGUCCCCGGAUGAGUGUACCUGAAGAAAAAGCAUCGGCUAACUCCGUGCCAGCAGCCGCGGUAAUACGGGGGAUGCGAGCGUUAUCCGGAUUUAUUGGGUUUAAAGGGUGCGCAGGCGGUCUGUUAAGUCAGCGGUCAAAGCCCGGGGCUCAACCCCGGCCCGCCGUUGAAACUGGG
rnacentral:rRNA from 1 species